GACGAACGCUGGCGGCAUGCCUAAUACAUGCAAGUCGAGCGAACGGAUGAAGUGCUUGCACUUCUGACGUUAGCGGCGAACGGGUGAGUAACACGUAAGGAAUCUACCUAUAAGCGGGGGAUAACAUUCGGAAACGGGUGCUAAUACCGCAUAAUAUCUUCUUCCGCAUGGAAGAAGAUUGAAAGACGGCUCUGCUGUCACUUAUAGAUGACCUUGCGGUGCAUUAGUUAGUUGGUGGGGUAAUGGCCUACCAAGACGAUGAUGCAUAGCCGACCUGGUAGGGUAGUAGACCACAUUGGGCCUGAGACACGGCCCAAACUCCUACGGGAGGCAGCAGUAGGGAAUCUUCCGCAAUGGGCGAAAGCCUGACGGAGCAAUGCCGCGUGAGUGAAGAAGGCCUUCGGGUCGUAAAACUCUGUUAUAAGAGAAGAACAAAUUGUAGAGUAACUGCUACAGUCUUGACGGUAUCUUAUCAGAAAGCCACGGCUAACUACGUGCCAGCAGCCGCCGUAA
rnacentral:rRNA from 1 species